rnacentral:rRNA from 1 species
UCGGGAAUUUUGGGCAAUGGGCGAAAGCCUGACGCAGCAACGCCGCGUGAGUGAUGAAGGUCUUCGGAUCGUAAAGCUCUGUCGGCAGGAACGAUGGAUAUCGUAGCUAACAUCUACGGCAUCUGACGGUACCUGCAAAGGAAGCACCGGCUAACUCUGUGCCAGCAGCCGCGGUAAGACAGAGGGUGCAAGCGUUGUUCGGAAUUAUUGGGCGUAAAGGGCGCGUAGGCGGCGGCGCAAGUCAGAUGUGAAAGCCCGGGGCUUAACCUCGGAAGUGCAUCUGAUACUGCGUUGCUUGAGUCCUGGAGAGGGUGGUGGAAUUCCCAGUGUAGAGGUGAAAUUCGUAGAUAUUGGGAGGAACACCGGUGGCGAAGGCGACCACCUGGACAGAGACUGACGCUGAGGCGCGAAAGCGUGGGGAGCAAACAGGAUUAGAUACCCCGGUAGUCCCUGAGCGGGCUGGCAAGGCGCAU